CUUCCAAACUUUUAGAUAAAUGGUUUAUGAUCAUGUUCAGUUACACAGAUAUUAUAAAGUUUAAUGUCACUGAUAAUUCACUAAUUUAUUGAAAUCAAAGAAGUAAACUGAAUGUUUCUUCUAUGCAAUAUUGAUUUUAAUCUUCUCUCAGUAUCUCCCAAGCCCUACCUCAAAUUGCUAUAUAAAAAUGUGAACAAACUGCUAUAUACUUGCCUGAGGAGAACUAUUAGAAUCAGUCCAAGAAUCAUAGAUACUUUGUGAUGAGUUAUCUGGAUCUUUGACCUACAAAUAAUAAACAUCAUUGUAUAUUCUCUUACUGAUUAUGCAUACAAGUUCUAAUUCUAGUUGUUUUAUAUUCAACUCUUAUCAUACUUUCUGAGUUGCUUUUAUGAUCAAUUCUUCAAGCUGUGGAGUAGCACUAGCACGGAACCCUGGUCCACCUACUGCACUGUCAACAUUCAAGGACAACCUCAUCUAUCACAUCAGCAUAAGGAUCACCUUCAUAGCUUUCUUGUCUUAGAUUGAAGCUAAAAGAAGAUUCUGUUGAAGAGUUUGUCAGAACCAAGGAACGUGAAAAAGGAUAUGCAAGAGCAACAUCAUAGGAUGUUACAUGAGUUGGUAUGUUAGAUGAGGUGAGUAUUGAGACAACAUAAGCUGCAGCUUCAUUGUUGGCUUCAGAACCUGCUAUGUGGGGUCUAUGAGUGAGAACUUUAAGGUUGUUAGAUACUGAGACAUUAUCUGAUAGAGAAUUGGAUAUAAAGAGAGAGUGAUAAUAGCUAGAUUUCUUGGUUGGAGUAAGUAACAAGUAAGAUGUGGCUAUGGCUAAUAAGGUGAUGAUGAUGCUUGUUUUGAUCAUGGCAUAUGCUAAUUAAAACGUUGAUGGAUAUAUAGUGUUCUUUUUGCUUAGUUGAUAGUGUUUUUGAGGUGUUUAAGGUUGGACAAGUUUCUUGGUUUCUAGGGUUUGCCCGUAAGAAUGAGAUAGAGAAAGAUUGUUAUAUAUAUACUACUAUUUUGUUGAAGUUGGUUUUGAUUAAGAGAGAUAAAUUAAAUGA